GUCCGAGGGAAGGGCUGUUGUACAAUUAACCCAUCACCAGAAAGUAGAAAGCUCAGCAGAACAGCGCGGGGGAGUGUCCGAAACGCCUGUUAAUCAACGUGAAACGCCUGUUAAUCAACGUGAAACGCCAUUGUUGAUGGGAUAAAAUUGACCUCUGCACAGGGAGGCUGGGUUCUAAGAGGCGGCAAGACAUUCCUUCCAACCCAAGCUUCAGGAACACCGAGGUAAAACCUCACUCAGGCUGUGCCCAAUUACACAAGAAGGGAAUUAAUUACAAAUUUUUCUUUCAUGCUGACAGCUGAUUUUUUUUUUCCCCUCCCCCUUCUCCUUGUUAAUAAUCAGGGGGGGGAAAACCCAACAGGUAGAAGAUAACCAGCGCAGCAACCAGCCCAAUCUCCACUCGCUGUUCCCUGCUGGAAGCCCUGAUGUUUUGAUCAACGCCGACACUUCUGGAGCGAGCGACUGCGGACGGGAGGAGCUGCCGUCCCUGCUGACCAGCCUUGAAAAUCAUGCCGAGGGUGCCACCGGCCUCCUCCAAGGCACCCGCUUCGUCCCCGCAGUGUGCCAAUGGCGCCGCUCCGAGCUCGAACGCGCAUCGAAGCGAGAGCUGCAGGAUCAGGCUUAAUAUGCUAAAGACACCCCAAAAGUGGUAGAUGUGUGAUUAAACGCCUGGAAAAGGUGGGAGCAAGCGGCGGCCGCCUCCCUUGACCCAGCAGCUCGCGGGGGCAACCUCGGGAUCAAGUCCUACCCAGGCAAUAGGGAAGGAGCCAAAUCGGUUACAGCCCCGAUGAGGUAUUUAGUGACUCAGGGUAUUAAUUACAUUUGGAAAAGAAUCUUCCAGGACUAGUUUGAGAUGUCAGCCUGCAGCAGAGCGGUUCAGCGCUCGGGAAAGCGCGUGGGCGAUGCCCGGAUAAACGUUUCGGGACCUGAGCUCGGUGUUUUCACAGGUUAAUAAAUCUCCCUGGCAUGGAGCAGAUGAAAACGUUCCCUCUCGUGGAGCUCAUCCAUCUCCAUCCCGUUAGCUCGCAGAGGACUUUGCGGGUGCCACUGGAGAUGCGGUAAGUCGCUGCCGCCAGGGACCUGUGCUGGAGGAAAGGGUUGAAGGGUCGUGAGCCAUCUCAGCACUUGGUCUUCAUCCUAAUGCUUAAACACCUCUUUCCGCCCAUCGCUGGGGGAAACUUCUCUUGCCCAAAUGAUUUACACCAAGCUGGAGGUUUGUAAGACUGGAUGUGGCGUCACAGCUGCGAUUCAAGGCAAAGCACGUCCUUAUCCACCAACCCAUCCGGCAGGAGAGCUCCCAGCUCCUCUCUCCGUAGCAGGAAUAACCUCUGCAGCGUCACGGAAGCCAAUUUCCUUAUUCCUCCCUCAUUUCGAGGAGGAGAAUCCAUAUUCCAAGUGAUAAUUAACUGACAUCAGCUUCAACUAAGUAUUUACUGCUACUACAGGCACGUAAGUCGGCUGCACGUACAGCGCCGAAGCGAGGGAAGCCGAGCUGAGCCCAAGUAACGAACCAGAGCUAGAGACGCAGGAUUUGCAGGCCGGUUCUAAGCCGCCAACCUCACAAGCUUUACCAGGGCACCAAAAAUUAAGGCAGAGUCACAGGUAAUCUCAGGAUAGUCCUUUUAUCUCCACCCACCAAAACAUUCACCUUUAAAUGAAAGCAUUUUACAAACAAUACAAUGUUGACACCACUUAAGUUUCGCUCCGCGUUAAAAGUAAGAAUAAAACAUCAGGGAGAAUAUUACAGUCACAUGGAAGUUAUGCAGAACCUUAACGGCGUACACUGCAGAAAUUAAAACCCCGGAAUAAAAUUUCUGGUGUUUCCAGACAGACAGGCUAAAGGGACAAACCACAUCUUUGUUAAAUAUAGAAAAGUUUCAAUUUGAGGGGGAAGAGGUUUCGUUUGCCAGAUGGUGAAGUAGCACUGGUUCGCACACAUGCUCAAAAGGAAAUUCUCCUAGUACAAAGCCAUCUAAAAAACGGGAGACCGCACAAAACCUAGCUACUAAAAUGAAGAUUUGGUAAAAAAAAAUUCCUCUAUUUUCAAAAAAAAAGAAAAAAAUCACUUUACAGGUAAAGGCUUCCACUGCCUAAGUGAGUUUAGUAGAACGAGAACUCAAGAGAUGUGCUAUGAAAUUCACAGAUACAGUUAUGGUUCUUUUUUUAAAAAACAAACCCAGGAUACGUCAGGUCUUUUACACAUCAGCUUCCCCCUCCAGAGUUUACUCCGCAUCCUCAUCCUCUUGCGCUGCAGCAGCUUCCUCACUAUCUUCCUCCUCAUCUUCUACCUCCACGCCUUCUACUGGCUGUGGCUCCUCUUCCUCAGGGAGAGGCUCCUCCGCAGGCAGGGAAGGCCGCUCCUCUGCGUCGGGCUCCACCUCUGCUUGUGCCGCGAUUUCUGUCUCUGUCCCUCUUUCUUCUCGCUCCCCCUCAUUUUCAGUUCCUUCUGGGUUCUCUUCGGGAUCCUUGUUUUCCUCAUCUAGAUUUUCCUCCUCUGGAUUUUCUUCUUCGGCAUUUUCCUCUUCCAGAUUUUCCUCCUCUGGAUUUUCUUCCAGAUUUUCCUCCUCUGGAUUUUCUUCUUCCGGAUUUUCCUCCUCAUCCUUGUUUUCAUCUGCUCCUUCCACUGUUCCUUCCUCUACAUUUCCACUGGCUCCCCCUUCUCCUUCCUCAUGCUCUUCUUUUUCUUCUGGGUCAUCCGUGAAAGGAUUCUCACCCUGCAAAGAGAAGGCAAACGUUUGUCUGCUGCGAGUUUCUCUCUAGCUGCUUCGAGGCAUUCACGCUGGCUACGCGCCACGCAAACCCUCCCAAGCUCAGCGUUAAAGCUGCGCCAAAAGCAGUCAAGCGAGCGGCUCCCGAAAGCGCGUGCCACCCCGAGAUUUCAGAGCAACGCUAACGGUAGCGGCGCCAGCGCAACCGUCAGGCCUCCGGCCAAAGCUUACGCUGGAGGCCUCGCUCAUCCCGUUCGCUCAGGGUUCGGUGUGACGCGCGGGGCGGCGGAUGACAGAUUAAGUCACCCGCACUAUAGAGACUCGGUGACCAGCAACAAGGAAUCCGAUAUAGUAUCAAAAAACUCCCCAAAUCGCCUCGAGGUUCAGUUAAUACCCGCCCUCCGCAGUCAACGGCGGCUACAGCAAAACUCCUCCAGCACCAAAGCGUCGCUACCAGCUCGACCCCGUACCGAGCCGCUCCGCAAACACCCACCUUCAGGUACCGCUCCAGUUUCUUACUGAUUAGUUUGUUGUUGAGAAUACUCCUCGCGACUACUAGGGAUGAUUUCUUGGACUGCUCCAUCAUAGCCUGAGGGAGAAAACCCCAACACACACUUAGAUAUUGUUCUGAAUUAACUUAGGAGGCCAGUUAAUCACAGCUCGGCAGCGGAUGACAGGUGACAGAGCGCACUUUGGUAUUUGGGUAGGUGACAACACAGCAAUAUUUAAAGAAAUCUGUCAUUUCCUACACGUUCCCCCAAAUUCUGUGCUUCGGAAAGGUGAGUAUCAGCAGCCAAGGAAAAGCCGCGCGGGUUGUUUCACCCGCUUCCACCAGCGGCAUCGUUUUGCCUUUCGGUUUCUGGGGAUUGAAGGUGGAAGUCGGCGCGUUUCGAUUCCGCGGGGAGCGAAGGACGGCCGAGCGCCGCAGAUGCUAACGCAGCCUGCUCGGCAUCAACGCGGCGACGCGCCGAGAUUUACGGCCGCGUGCCGAUGUACGUGUUUUACACCUCGAAAGAGGCGUCGUUUGCCGGCCAUCACCUCGGAUCGCUGCUUGUGGGAAGAGGGAAGUGGUAAUGACAUCAUCCUGUAUGUAUGUGGAAGUGGGGAGAUCAGAAAGCUGUUUAUUUUGCAAGAAACAGGGCAAGAGACACGAGAUCUUGUUUUCAGCUUGGCACAAGGCUUUGCUGAGGGUGCUUUAAUCCCACGAGCCCCUUCCUCACCAGCUUGUGCAAAGGGGAUGUUUCUGGGGACGCAAGAACAGUCAAAAUUAACCCCAGACUGUAGAGAGAAGUUUCUGGGGACAGAACAUCAGAAUUAACUGCAGACCGUGGAGAGAAGCACUCGAGAAGAGGAAGCAAAGUUCUCCCUGGUUUCAGGAACCAGGUGAACUCAAACCAUCCAAGUUCAUGCUCCUCCUACUGCAGCUGAAGCCCACGAGACCCCCGAGGCACCGGGCUGCCCACUCACCCUGCGGUUGUGGUUGUGGUCGAGCGACUUCAAGUGUUUCUGGAUGAUGCCGUACUGCAUCGGGAUGAAGAGGUCACAGGCAGCACAGUGAGCCGCCUCCACCUUUUUAAUAAAAUGCUCCAUGCCAACAUCUAAAAAGGAAGACAAGAGCAGCGUUAACCACAAAAUAAUCCGGGGCUCUGGGCUGUGUUACAGGUUUUACUCCGGCCUGUGUUAAAACCUCGCUCCUGGGGCCCCCAACCUCGCUCCUGGGGCCCCCAACCUCGCUCCUGGGGCCCCCAACCUCGCUCCUGGGGCCCCCAACCUCGCUCCUGGGGCCCCCAACCUCGCUCCUGGGGCCCCCAACAGCAUCAAAACAGUCUUCCCGGGCAGCAGACGAGGAGCCAAGCAGAGCACACAUUAUAUACGGCCAGGUUAACAGAACACCAGUGGCCCAGAUAUAAGCCUGGCCCCGCAACGACGAGCGGCACGAGCUGCAGCUGCAUCAGCACUGCGGGUUUGCCAGAAAAAAGUCUCUUCAGCCAGCUAAUCAUUUAUCCAGCGUUCACAAAGCCGGGUAAUAACCUGAAGUGGCUGACGCUGCACUUGAAUGUACAGGGACAGCAACAUAGCCAUGGCUCACCUGGAGAAAGUCAGCUGUUUGUUGAGGCAGCUUGGUUCCAAC